rnacentral:rRNA from 1 species
UGGGGUAGUGUGAUACCAUAGUGGGUGAGAUAAGAGCCCACCAGAGGAUGGUUCAGUACACGGGGUGAGAGACUGACCCCAGACUCUGGGGGGAGGCAGCAGCCCAAAAUCUUGGGCAAGGGGGCAAUGCGGAAUCCAGCCCAAUGGGGGAAACCAAGAAGCAGUGACGGUGGUAGAGCGAAGAAAUGGUUGAGCAGGUUAACCUUUAUCAUCAGGGAAGAGGAUGGCGGUUCCUGGCUGAGUAACCCCGGCCAAAUUCGGUCCCGCCAGCGGGGUUAUUACUGGGGGGCCAAGGUUUUCUGGAUUUUAUGGGGGUAAAGGGGGGGUAGGUGGCACAUCAAGUUCAAUGUGAAAAUCCCCGGCUCAAAUUUGGGAAUGCCUUUGAAUAUGGUUUGCUAGAAGUCAGGAGAAGGAAGGUGAAUUUCCAGUGGAACGGUGAAAUGGGUAAAUAUUAGGAGGAACUCCAGUGGGGAAGGGCACCCAUUGGACUGUAACUGACCAUGAGGCUCGAAAGCGUGGGAGCAAACCAGGAAGAUUACCUGGUAGUUCACAUCCGUAAACGAUGAUUUAUAGGCUCGGGGUCAAAAGACCUUUGGUGCCGUAGCAAACGCAUAAGU